CAGCUUGGCAACUCAGAGAAACAUGUUAGAGGUGCUAACAUUGGAUACAUGUGAGCACAAAGCUGGCAACUCUCAAAGAGGGAGGAAGACAAGGGUCGAAAACAAUCUGUUGCUAUGUUCACUAUUUGGAGGAGGGUUCACCUGAGCCCAAACCUCAGCAUCAUGCAAUAUACUCGUGUAAAAAAGCUGCACGUGGACUCGCUGAAUCCCAAACAAAAAUUAAGAAUCCAAGUAUGGACUAAUACAGAGAGAGAAAGGAAGAAAGUGAAGAAGAGCAAACGUAUAUCUGCAGCGGUUUUUCUGCAUGGCUAAGGUGAGGCUGGGCUCCGUGGCUGUUCAGGCGAUUUUGCUGCCUAGAAGGGGAUUUGGAGAGGUAAGAAGCCUGCAAGACAGGAGGCAGCAAGAAUAGGACGUGGGCGGGGG
rnacentral:lncRNA from 10 species